rnacentral:lncRNA from 1 species
AAGGAGAACCCAGUUGAUGCACUUACGGAGGUACUUCCACGGGACAGCUUUCAGAGAUGUGUUGAGCUGAUUCGGCUGAUGGACAGAGUGGAGCUGGUUGAGGCCUUGGGAUACCAAGGUGGAGAUUGUUGUGAUCCAGAUGGUGUGCCCAAGGCCCAGGGGACCAAGGCUAAGAUCAAGGUCCAUCAUUCAUGAGGGCUUCAUGG